CGGACGGGUGAGUAACGCGUGGAUAACCUGCCGUAUACCGGGGGAUAACACUUAGAAAUAGGUGCUAAUACCGCAUAAGCGCACGGCUUCGCAUGAAGCAGUGUGAAAAACUCCGGUGGUAUACGAUGGAUCCGCGUCUGAUUAGCUGGUUGGCGGGGUAACGGCCCACCAAGGCAGCGAUCAGUAGCCGGCCUGAGAGGGUGGACGGCCACAUUGGGACUGAGACACGGCCCAGACUCCUACGGAAGGCAGCAG
rnacentral:rRNA from 1 species